rnacentral:rRNA from 1 species
GUGUCAGCCGCCGCGGUAAUACGUAGGGGGCGAGCGUUGUCCGAAUUUACUGGGCGUAAAGCGCGUGUAGGCGGCUCUCUAAGUCAGAUGUGAAAUCCUGUGGCUCAACCACAGAACUGCAUUUGAAACUGGAAGGCUUGAGUUUGGGAGAGGAGAGUGGAAUUCCUGGUGUAGCGGUGAAAUGCGUAGAUAUCAGGAGGAACACCCGUGGCGAAGGCGGCUCUCUGGUCCAACACUGACGCUGAGACGCGAAAGCUAGGGGAGCGAACGGGAUUAGAUACCCCGGUAGUCCUAGCCGUAAACGAUGGAUACUAGGUGUUAGAGGUAUCGACCCCUCUAGUGCCGUAGCUAACGCAUUAGGUAUCCCGCCUGGGGAGUACGGCCGCAAGGUUGAAACUCAAAUGAAUUGACGGGG